rnacentral:misc_RNA from 1 species
GCUUCAUUCGUUAAAAUGUCCUCUAGAAAUCUCCUCUAUUCUUCUGUGGUCCUGUUUCUUGUUUUGUUCUACUGUCAUGGCGGCCCUUUAGAAGACCGAGUCAGAAGUACGAUUCAAGAGGUUUAUAAAAACUGUCGAAAGGAUAAAAAUCCAGGGGUCAUUGUUUCUGUGGUGAAAGAUGGUCAAAAUGUCCUGACGGAGGCUCUCGGGGUCAAGGACAAAAUAUCUGGAGAGGCCAUUACCACCGAUACUCUCUUUGGGUUAGGAGGAAUUUCAGCUUUAUUCGCCAAUAUUCUUAUCGCAAAGAAAAAUGCAGAAUAUGCCGAGUGAGUAUUCUAUAGAAUUAUUUCUGAAAUUUGAAGAAUUCUUGAAAUAUGUUGAAAAUGUAUGCAUGUUUCAUCAAUCGGAGAAAAAAAUUGAUAAAAACUCACGUGUUUUCGUCAAAACGGUGAUGACCAGUUUGAACUUUAUUUGAAAAAUUGAAAAAAAAAACUAUGGCUUCCGAUUCGUUGUCGCCAGUAGCAAUUCGCGUGGGAUCACAUUUCAAAACUAAUCAUAUGAAGAAAAAAAACCCAAUGUCUCGAUCAUGAAAAUUUAUAAAUGGCAAUUUUCAUCUAAUAUUAAACCAUGCACUUUUGAUCUAUUUCGCUGCAGUUCAAACAACCCAGAUUCUACUCUCGAGUAAGUUCAAGUUAAGUUUUUAAGACAUAAUUAUAUCAAAAUCUAAAGAAAUAUUACAUUUACGUCCUAGUUGUACCGGUACUUGUAUAAUAUUAAACAUUAUCUAAAACAUGUAAUUGACUUUACUUUUGAAUCCCAUGUAAUUGGCUAUGAUGAAAUAUAAUUAUGUCUUCCAUGUAUCAAGGCAUGUAAAAUCACAUUGUAAUGUUACAUUGUUACAAUGUUACAUUAAUAACAUUUAACGUAUCGUGAAUAUAUUUUCCAUUUUCAUCUAUUAUCAUUGUUUGAAUGAAUAUUAAUCUGCAUUUCUUUAUCAAGUGACAGUUGCUUGAAAUUAUAUAAAAAAUGUAACCAAUACAGAACCAUGUGGUAUCAAAAGUAUCCUCAUGUUAUGUGUAAUAUCUUACAUAAGUUUUUCCAUGUAUACCAGGAACGGUGACUGAUUUGAAAUAACCAUUUGAAAAAUUCAGAUCGGUAAAUUUAUAUGCUUAUUGAGUAAAAUUUUGCACAUAAUCAUUCAUUUAUUUAUUAAUUCAGAAUGGACGAGGACACUACUCUACGAAACCUUUUUGGAAACAAUAAGCUUUUUGAGAAAUCCAAGCUGCGAUCCCGGUAUGCUACAUCUCUGGAUGUCAUGGCGCAUCGGUUGGGAUUCAAAAAUACUCCUUACUUGUUUUUAGACGAUACGGUUACCCGAGGCGACCCCGUCAUACAACGAAUAAGUAGCAUGAAGCCAAGAGGGCGUUUUAGGGACAGCUUUUACUACAAUGAGUUGAUGUACAGCAUCCUCACCACGAUUGGCGAACGACUUGGUAGAGAUAGUUGGGAGAAUCUUGUUAAAAACGAGAUCUAUACCCCCCUCGGAAUGGCUAAAUCCAAAUUCUUCACCACUUUGGAUCCCUCAACGGUCGACAUUGCCAGAGCCUACAAAGAGGACGACGGCUCUCUGUUCCCAGUUCCGUUCGAGUUCUUGAAAAAAUGGUCUAGCUUGUGCAGCACAACAUGUGUCCUUAGUAGUGCAAACGACAUGUCUAAAUUCAUGAAUUAUCUCCUUGGCAACGGAAGCAUUCCUGGAACAAACGAUGUGUUACUGGCCAAGAAAAUUCACCGUGAUUUGUUCGAUGCAUAUAACCGUCUGCAAGAUCCAAGCAUUGAAGACUAUUUCCUGACCAUAAGAGGUGUCCCCGUAUCUAGGACUCACUUUGCGUAUGCUAUGGGCAUCAAACGAGGAAUGUACAACAAUGAAAGAAUUCUGGAGACUGCUGACGACAUGCAUGGUUACAACACCCUCAUGACCCUUUUCCCUGACCGAAAUCUUGGAAUAUUCAUCGCAAUGACUGGAGAAGACAAAAAGGAUCUCUUCAGAACUGCUCUCAGUAGCUACAUUUCAGACUUGUAUCUCGAUAAAGAACCAUGGUUAAACUCUUCUCUACUUUGCACGUUCCCUGAACCCUUCAUGAAGGGACCUGACCCCGACACUCCCAAAGUCCACCCGGUCGUGCCACUUGGUCGACUUCCGACAGAUUUCACUGGAACGUAUACUAACGACAUCUACGGGAAAAUGGAAAUCAUUGACAAAAGUGGAGUCUUGGAGGCAAAGUACGGCUAUGCUACUUUCGACCUUCAGAGAGAAGAGACAACGUCUCUCAAGUUUAACAUGUUCCCGACUGGACUUAUAAGACAUAUGUUCUCUGUUGAUGAUCUGAGAUUUAGGGAAAUGAAGAACUCCACAUAUAUCGAAGCGUUUACUGUUGACAAAUUCGAUGAUGCUAAGUUCGAGAGAGUUCAGCCGGUUACCAACACCACUACCACCACCACCACGGAGAAGCCAGCCGGCGGGAUAGCUAUUCCGCUAUAAAGCACCAUAUAGACACUCAGUGGACACAUGACUGAAUUCAAUCACGUUGUUACUUGUUUUAAAUCCAAAUAAACAAUAUUUUUAUG